rnacentral:lncRNA from 1 species
CAACUUUGUAACUUCACCUUAGUCUCUGAGGGCCACAGCUUCAUUUACAUGAGGUGAACACAAAGUGGCCAAUGGGAAAUCUCUAGGGGGUAUUUGGACCUGAGAAGAUUCUAUAUCCAGGCCCUUGAGCUGCUGCCGCUGCCGGCUCCCACACUGUGGAGUGUACUUUCACUUUCAAUAAGUCUCUGCUUUUGUUGUAUCAUUCUUUCCUUGCUUUGCUGUGUGUUUUGUCCAAUUCUUUGUUCAAAAUGCCAAGAACCUGGCCAACUUGGAGUCAAGACCCUCUACCGAACUUGAAGAUUUUUAGUGUUAUGCCUACUCUGCCAAUUCUUGGAACAUUUGCGGAACUGAGAAUUUACUUCUUCGUUUAUUACUUCCUAACUACAUUUUAAAGAACAAAGAAGAAAAAAUUUCUUUUAAAGAAAGGCCAAAGAAUUAUUAUAGAUCUUUUCUUUCGACAUUCCUAAACAAGAACAGGCCUAGAUGGUGUCAUUUUCAAUUCUUGUCCUAACUGGUAUUGUAUGAUUUUUUUGUUUUUAAAUUGCCCUGAAUUUUUGCCCCAUUUUGUUUGUGUUUUGGGUGAACAUUACCUUUACAUAGAAUAACUAAUGUUUCUUAACUGUCUGCUUUAUAUACAAAGUAUUAUUUUGCCUUCUUCUGAGUUUGAUUAACAACUAACUUUAUGUAUGAUAGUAGUUGUUUGGGGAUUUUUCUUUUUGUAAAGAUGGACUAAUAUCUUAGGCCCCCA